GCAAUAAGGUUAAUUAUAUCAAUCGUGGCACUCACAGUCUGUGCAGAUUUUCUUUGAGAAAAAAGGAAAUGCCAAUUUGCCAGAAGGUGCAAAUUGUUCAUGUAUGGCAUGCCUCUUAUGCUGUGUAUAAAAGCCAGGGCAGAAGGCGACACAACUGCAAACUGACCCGGCAAUCACAGCCACUGCAAACAUGUUGACAGUAUUGGCUCUGAUGACACUUCUGAUGGUCUCGGUUGAGUCGGACCUCUCAAAUGAAGAGUGGAAGUCUCUGAGUAACCCACAGAGCAGGACCCUGUUUUUCCGAAUCCUGCAGUCAUAUCUUGAAGACAGAGAGAGUGAAGUUCAAGCGAUGAACAGGAAAACAAACAUGAAGGAAAACAAAAACAGCAAUAUAGAAAAUACUGGUUAUGACAAGUACGAGCUCUAUCGUCACAAUGACAUUUAUGAUGUUUAAUUGAGGAUUUCAUUUUUAACAUGCAAAUCAGGUAUUAGGUCUAAUAGUUUGAGAAAUGUUCAAGUCAUUAUGUCUGCAAUGAUGUUUUGCAUAGUAAAAUUGAAACACUUGCUGGACAAAUUUCUGCCUGUUUUUCUUUAUAUAUUUCUCAUUUAUAGU
ensembl:lncRNA